rnacentral:rRNA from 1 species
CCUACGGGGGGCAGCAGUGGGGGAUAUUGCACAAUGGGGGAAACCCUGAUGCAGCGACGCCGCGUGUGGGAAGACGGUCCUCUGGAUUGUAAACCACUGUCCCCAGGGACGAAGAUGACGGUACCUGGGGAGGAAGCCCCGGCUAACUACGUGCCAGCAGCGGCGGUAAUACGUAGGGAGCAAGCGUUGUCCGGAAUUACUGGGUGUAAAGGGGGCGUAGGCGGGAUGGCAAGUUGGGUGUUAAAUCUACCGGCUCAACUGGUAGUCGCACUCAAAACUGCUAUUCUUGAGUGAAGUAGAGGCAGGCGGAAUUCCUGGUGUAGCGGUGAAAUGCGUAGAGAUUAGGAGGAACACCAGUGGCGAAGGCGGCCUGCUGGACUUUUACUGACGCUGAGGCUCGAAAGUGUGGGGAGCAAACAGGAUUCGAUACCCUUGUAGUC